UACGUAGGGGGCAAGCGUUAUCCGGAAUCACUGGGCGUAAAGGGUGCGUAGGCGGCUGAGUAAGUCAGAGGUGAAAGGCUACGGCUUAACCGUAGUAAGCCUUUGAAACUGCUUAGCUUGAGUGCAGGAGAGGUAAGUGGAAUUCCUAGUGUAGCGGUGAAAUGCGUAGAUAUUAGGAGGAACACCAGUGGCGAAGGCGGCAAUCUGGACAGUAACUGACGCUGAGGUACGAAAGCGUGGGGAGCAAACA
rnacentral:rRNA from 2 species